UUCCAUAUAAUUUCACAGCCAUAUGUCAGUAAAGGUCUGAUGAGUAAUAGAUAGCAAAUGAUUCUUGCUCUUUUGUUGAUAAAUUUAUUGUGGAAUAAAAAGCCAAGAGAUUUAUACCGAUUUCUGGCUUUUACUAUUUGGAUAUCAGAGUGUUUAGAACAACGAACUAAGUAAUCUAUGUGUACACCAAGCUCCCAGUGGUGUAGGUGUCGACCUCUAUCGUUACGACAAGAAUCUCCAUACGAUUGGUGUCUAGCGUUUAAAUCUCCCAUAAUAAUGUAGAAGACGUCGUCAUCAAAUAAUUUUAAUUCGUUAAAUAGAGUGUUUAAUUCAUCGUGAAAAAUGUUACCGCGAUUAUAAGCAUUCGUAGCAUAGAUGCCGAUGAUAAAUAAUGUUUUGGAGUUUAAUGUUUUUAUUUUAAUGAUUGUGUACUCCAAUAUUAAAUUGUUGAGAGAACUCGGGUAGUUAAUCGUUGUGUAUUUUAUAUCAUUACGAAUAAUUAUUGUGGUUCCUCCUGAGAAUUUAGAUUUAUUCCUAUCAUUUCUAAUCAAAUUGUAGUUAUCAAAUUUUGUUGUGAUUUUUAUUCAGUUUAGUCUCACAAAUUAGAGCAACAUCGAUAUUAUUUUUAUCUAGGAAUGAUUGUAGAUAAUACCGUCUUUGUUGUCGAACAAUUGAAUUAACAUUAAUUGAGAUCAUGUUUAGGCCCUGUAUUAUUAAUGAGUUAUCUGUAUCAUCGUUAUUGGAGGUAGAAUUAAUUCUCGUCGAUGCCAUUGAGACCAAGAGACAAUAUCAUUUUGAAGUCGAGACGCCCAAGCGACCCCUCAAUAACAACGGGGUGUCUUAAUCGAUUAUUAUCA